GUGGGCCUGUGGCCUCCUGCGCACUUCCGUGAAAAUGGCUUUCAUCAGGAGCGAAAGCUCCAGCUUGCAAGCAAGGGUCGCUACACUGAAGACAGCAAACUGCAGAAACUCAAGAAUUAUAAAAAUGAAAAAGCACCUGAAUUCCAAGGGACUAAUGAUUUUGAAUGCCCCUUAGAUUUGAAUGGGUACAGUGUACUCGGUAAGUGAUGACGCUCAUUGCUUUUUCGCAUGCGUUAUUGCCCUUGCCCCUUGGGUCAUGAGUGUUAUCACCAUUGUGUGUGUAAUGUGUAUGUACCAUUUUAAAUACAUGACCUACUUUCA